UCAGAGAGUAUCUUAAAUUUAAGGGGUAACGGGGGACCCUUAAAUACUAAUGGCCGGCGAAGCGGCAUAAAACAAAAUAGUUAAUCUCAAUUAAAACAAACAAUAAAUAACAUUAAAAAUAAUAUAAACUCAGCUGAAUAGAUGAAGUUGUUGAUAGUGAUCUUGUGGUAAUGGUGUUGAACGUCUGAGUAUGACGAGUCAGAGUGUAGAUCCAGGCACGUAAUGACAGAUGAGAACAGACGGCGAAAAAGCGACUACGUCAAUGAAGAUAUUUAGUAAUGGUCAGGGCCCAAUCACUAGUGGCGUGAAAGGGCACGUAAACUUUGAGCAUAAGGAUGCAAUAAACAAAUAAAAGAAUAACGACGUACAAUGGCCGAACAAUUUACGAUUUAAGCGAAGGCGCUUGCUACAAAAAGAAAAAGACACAUAAAACAAUUGACAGAUUAACUUACGACAAUGAACUGUACACUGAUGACAAUCGACACAGAGGUCAUCGAUUUGCCGUGCUGGGUGGGCAAAGGGGUGUGUAAAGAAACGCACUGGAGAUCAACGGUCAACGAUAUAAUAUAAUCAACGAUGUUUGUAACAUACUAAAUCUUUGCUAAAGGCAUUCCGUACCAAACAAAUAUUCUUUGAACUAUCUAUAGCAGAUAAAAGAUUGCUAUCACUUUGCAAAAACAUUUCUUAAAGAUCAAACACUUGAGCAUGUAAACGAAAGAGAACUGUUGAUAUUAUUAAACAACACACUGGGUAGAGUAAUAUUAUUUAAAAUAACAGUUUAAUGUAUUUUUUCAUUUGAUAAUUUGUGACAGAGAAGUAACUUUACAUUCUACUUAAAAAUUAUUAAAUGACAACUAUUAUUUAGCCACUCAUUAAUUACUUAUGUUAGUAUAGUACAAGGUCAAAGGGACACAUUCCUUUACGAUUAUAUUGUUUUACUCAAUGCAGCCUGUUCUAUACAUGUUAACAGUUUAGUCAUAGUUUCGCCGUCUAUCGAGUAAAGUGUCCCGUUGCCGUUGUACAUUUCUUAUAUUAUAUGUUUUAGCAUUUUAUAUUAAAUACUAUUAUAUUACGAAUAAUUUCUAAAUCUUUUAAUUACAUAACCUAUUUCAUUCAACAAGAACAAUAUGACAUCGAAACAAAAAAGAGAGCAGCUAAGAGAGAAGGAACGAAAAUCAUUAAGAACAGAAGAUCAAAAAACUCAUACUAAGAUGCUUAUGAAUGAAUAUCAUGAAGCUGAAGAAAGAUAUAUAAAUUUGAAAACUAAACAUGAAAAAACAAAUAAACUAUUAAAAAUCAGCUAAAAAAGAAAUAAAAUCAUUGAAAGAAACUAUUAUUAGUUUAGAAACAUUAGAAAAAAUGAAAUAUUUAAUCAAAAUUACAUUGAGACACUUUCCAAUAUAAUACAGGAAGAACAAUCUACCCAACAAGAGAUGCUACAAUAAGUUUCUUAAUAGGUUAUUUGAAGAACAGAAUAAAAAAAAACCUCUGAAUUUAUUGAUAAUGAAAUAAUUGUCAAUAAUAUAAGAAUACAACUUAAAGAUUUAGAGAAAUCAGUUUCUAAAUGUAUUAAAGAACUUGACUCGUACUUGGUGACUGAUGAAUGUAAUUCGCCGGCUUCUGAAGAUAUAUCUGUUGCUGAACGAUGUGAAUUACACAAU